GACGAACCGAGCGAACGUUAUUCGGAAUCACUGGGCUUAAAGCGCGUGUAGGCGGGACGGCACGUCGGUAGCUGAAAUCCCCCGGCUCAACCGGGGAACGGGCGCCGAUACGACCGCCCUCGAGGGACGUAGGGGGACCUGGAACUUCCGGUGGAGCGGUGAAAUGCGUUGAGAUCGGAAGGAACGCCCGUGGCGAAAGCGAGGUCCUGGACGUUUUCUGACGCUGAGACGCGAAAGCCAGGGGAGCGAACGGG
rnacentral:rRNA from 1 species